UACAGAGGUCUCAAGCGUUGUUCGGAUUCAUUGGGCGUAAAGGGUGCGUAGGUGGCGCCGUAAGUCAGGUGUGAAAUUUCGGAGCUUAACUCCGAAACUGCAUUUGAUACUGGCGUGCUUGAGGACUGGAGAGGAGACUGGAAUUUACGGUGUAGCAGUGAAAUGCGUAGAUAUCGUAAGGAAGACCAGUGGCGAAGGCGGGUCUCUGGACAGUUCCUGACGCUGAGGCACGAAGGUCAGGGGAGCAAACGGG
rnacentral:rRNA from 1 species